UGUUUUGAGUUUUCUUCGUCUACUAUUGAUCAACAAUUUAUUCUUUUAUUCAUUAUUGAAUCAAGAAAGUAUAUCCUGACUUGGUAUCCGUCCACAUCCAAUAAGAGUGAAGUGGUUCUUUUUUGCUCAGUUUUUAUUCCUCAGUGUUCACGUCUGUUGAUGUGUGAGUGGAAGGGAAAGAAUUAAGAACCUGUUCUCAGGGUAUCAGCUUCCAAGUAUGCUGUUAGUCUUGAGAGAAAGCAACACUAUAAAAAUAAAAAGGAAAAACACCAUUUGGAAGACAUCAGUCUGAAACCACACCAAAGACAAAGCUUUAUCAGGUGAUGUACAUAUUUACCUAGGAUUUACUUUGUUGAUUUAUUAAAAAGCCUUGGUAAAACCAACAAACUCAAAAUUUUGGGAAAUCAAACUAAAAAUCAAUUAUUUGUCCCAGCAUACAAUAUUAUUCAUUAAAUGGGUAUGAAUCAAAGCAUAUAACUAGUUACAUUGAGGUAAUGAAGAACAAACUGGGAUUCUAGCACUUUCAAAAUACAACUUUAAAACUUCUUGGCCUAAUUUGUAGAUUAG
rnacentral:lncRNA from 1 species